UCCACUCAGGAUAUUUUCUUGACUUGACUUGAAAUCUUUUACCAAAGCACAAGGUCUGACUUAAUUAUGCCUGUCAGCUGAGGCGACAGUGGAGUCUUUUUUUUUUUUUUUUUGUCAUUCAUGUAUUAAUCAUCUUUCUGUCUGAUGUCUAACAUCUUAAAGACCAUGGUUCCAUAUAAUUUGCCUUUUUUUUUUUUUAGGAACUAUGAAGAAAAAUAGAACAGGGAAAAGGAUAGAGAUCCAUGUGGAUUAGAGGGUUCUUCAAAGCAAGACAAAUGAAAAGAAAAAAAACCCACAACAACAAUAAAAAAAACCAUGAAGAUCAUUAGUAAGAGAAAAAGUAAAGAGAAAAUUACUCACAGCACGUGUACCUCCUAUACUCAUGGGAAAGAAUCAUGGGUUCUAAGAAAGUUUAGGCACCUGGUCUCAAACAUUUUUCCAAAAAUAGUUUUUGAAUGGAGAGGACCUUGGGAAGAAGAAAGGAGUGUUAGUCAAAGUUCUUGUCUUCUCCAGGAAGAAGGAAGGAGGUGGAAGAUCUUGGAACUUCCUGUCUCCAUAACUGUGUGAAACAAGUCUACACAAUAAAUAUCAGUCUGUCUGCCUA